UACAGAGGUCUCAAGCGUUGUUCGGAUUCAUUGGGCGUAAAGGGUGUGUAGGUGGCGCCGUAAGUCGGGUGUGAAAUUUCGGAGCUUAACUCCGAAACUGCAUUCGAUACUGCCGUGCUUGAGGACUGGAGAGGAGACUGGAAUUUACGGUGUAGCGGUGAAAUGCGUAGAUAUCGUAAGGAAGACCAGUGGCGAAGGCGGCGAUCUGGACGAUGACUGACGCUGAGACGCGAAAGCGUGGGGAGCAAACAGG
rnacentral:rRNA from 1 species